rnacentral:lncRNA from 1 species
GGGAGCUUUUGAAUGCUGCGAAGAGAGAAGACGCCGGUUUUCAUCGAAGUUUUUGUUAAACCCUGGAAAUCAACGCCACAAUUAAUGCCCCUCCCCAGAAAGAACCGCACCGGCAGCAACCCCGUCAGUUCAGUCUUCAGCACACGACGCAACAAAGUCACCCAACCUACCUUAGACCUUCAGCACCGCAGGCAAUAUCGACACCUCGGACUCAUGAUGUGGUCAAUUCCACGCUGGUGUAACAAGCCAUUAAGCCUCAGGCAUGUGCACUGGCUCUUCAUGAGCCCAGUCUCUUAAACAUCUCACCCAUAGAUUGUGUCAGCUGAUGGUAUUGUACAAAUUGCAACAUGAUCAGAGAAAUAGUAGUGGCAAGUUACACUGAGUGAGAGGAGGUAGUGUGAAAUCACUGGUGCCAAGGUGGGCUGAUGUGGACUACCAUACCUCCUAACGUGGACAAGUAAUACACUACUUACCCGAAAUGAACCAUGUUGUAUUUGUUCUGUUACACCCAUACAUAAUUCGUUAGUUCCAUUGGAAGAAAUUCAUUGGAAUUCCAUGGAACAUCCCUCCCAUGAAAUGCGUAUAUACUGUCAUUCUUGAAGGUUGCAGUGUGGUACCACUAGCAACCCGACUUGCAUGUGCAAUUGUUGCAUAGCUCAGGGUUUCAGAGCUAAUUAUGGGGUACUUCUGUCCUGGUAGCACUGACUGGUUUACGUGCCUCAUGCGUGUGCCGUGUGUGCAGGGUAGCUGCUUUUGCUUCCCAGACAAACCUAUGCAAGUAUGAAUAAUGCUUUAAGCUUCACUUGUUGUUACUGUACUACCGCCUAUUGUCCAAAAGACUAGUCCAUGACCCAAAGUGCUAAAAGCACAGCAACUAAAGAACUACAUCACUGCAACUGGAGGUCUGUGUUGAUGUGGGUGCUCUUGCAGACCAUUUCUUGAUAGCGCAACACCAGUGUGAACAUUUUGUCAAGGGGAAGAUUGCAGAAGUGCAAUAACAAGUGAAUUUCAGUACACACAAAUUGAAUAAAUAUUGUCUUGCAUUAGGAGUAUAUAAUCAGCUGUCCGGUGUAUCUGUAGGUGAGGUGUUUAUACAAAGUAAAUAUUGACUGUUCUAACGUGUGGUACAGUAAAAAGAGUUUCACUUAGUGAUCCGUGGAGUGCUAUAUUUUCCCUCCACUCUUCCUUGAGAAUAUACUUACAAUAUGGUAUGGAUCACCUUGCAAUGGUAUCGUUUGAUUGUACCACUCAUUGCAGUCAAUAUUAGCAUACAUUGUACUUAAAAGGCAGUGGUGUAGUCAAGUACAUUUCCAUGAGUACGAAAUGUACUGGAGUAUGAGUAUGAGUACUGCAACACUGCUAGAAGGCAUAUGAAGUGUGACUCAUGAGAAUGUGGAGGUGCACAUUGAUCUAUGCAAGACAAAGCUUUGCUUACUGCAUUUAUUCUAGCUUUAUAUGAACAUCUUCCAUAUGCCCAGUGACAUCUGAAACAUUUUUGUCAUUGACCUGACCAAUCACAUUGCUUUAUGACUAUAACAAUGAACAAGUAAGGGCGUUGUUUUCUUCUCUUGCUUUUGCAAAGUUUAAGGAAAACAAGACAAGUCCCUGCAUGCUUGAUUGAUGCGGCAUGAUUGUCAACAUCUGACAUGGUUUCUGCACAUCCACGUACUCUGGUUCAUAUUUAACUUAUGUAACUUCUUGGAAGCUUCCAUCCUAUUGUUCAUUUGUGUCUCGGUAAACAGUCAAAAUGUGGUAUUAAGCGCAUUCAGUUUUGCUGUUGAACCACUGUUAUUAACACAUUGAACCCAACUUUUUCAACAACUCAGAAUAUAGUAUAGGUAGAUUUUUCUUUAGGACAUUAAUAUCCAUGAUAUAUAUACGUAUAUAUUUUUAAGAAGGGGCUAAAGUCCAGCACUUUUUGAGUGAGAAAGCUAGAAUUGUUUUGCUUGUAUCCUAUUGUGUAUAGCUAUCCCGAGAUAAGUUGUGUCUAGUUUCUGUGCUGUUAUAGUUUGGUUUUCGUAUAUGGCACAUGAUGUAGGGUUUGAUAUUUACUUUGCUAGCUUGUGAUUUGCAACUUUGCCACAAACAUUUAAGAUAAAUAUAAAGAUCAUAAAAUGAUCACUUUUUUGUUAUUAAUUUCAUUAAUCAGAAAUACAGGUGGAAUGUAGGUUAGCUAUACACAUCAAUCAUAUUGACAAAUAUGUUGGUUUGUAUAAAAAAAAAAGGCCUCCUGUUUAAACGAUAUACUUAAAGUCUUUAUUAGUUUAAUUGUGUUGGACAAUAUAUUUCAAAUGAUGUUUAUUAUAUAAAAAAGUGAUCACAUAGGGAAAUGGUUUCAGUAAAUUAUGUUUAAAAGAAAUCAUUUCUGCUAUGCAAAAUGUAAAAAAAAGGUUUAAAUAUUGUAUGGUUUUACUUGUUUAUGUAUAUUCAUUUACUUUUACAAAAUUGUGCAAUUUAUGAAUUAAUAACUGAGCUUUCAGACAUUUGAGAUGGAAAAAGUCAACAUUGAUACUAAAGGACCUAAGACAAGAAAUGGGAAAAUGGGGGGGGGGGGCGGAGCGUUUGUUGAAUUCUUUAUUUCAGUUAUGCUGGUAGCUUUAUUUAUUUGACAUGGUCCUACAGAAACUGCAAUUGUUGCAAUAAAGUAGUCCAAGUUAUUCUUUUGCUAACUGCGAAAACUGUAAACUAAUGAAUGUACACAUGUUUUUGUGAGAAUAGAUGUGGUUUAUUGUAACAAUGUAUGGUUAUAUUUUGUACAAAUUAUCCUACUUCCCAUGCAUGGAUGCUGUGAUUAUGUUCAGUAAUUUAGUUGUUUUAAGUCUAUUUUCUUCGGUCAAGAUAGAGGUUCUGAGUACAAACAAUGUGCUUUUUAAAAAUGAACGAGUGAUUGUUUGAAUUAUUGUCUGGUACAAUUUAUGUUGCACAUUGUGACUUGCUUUUCACAGAGUGCAUGUACAUGUAAUAUAUGAAUUCUGUAACGUAUGUACUACUAGUAUGUUAUGUCCAGUGGCCCUAAGAGUGAAAUAACAUUAUGUGAGACUUGCA